rnacentral:rRNA from 1 species
CCUACGGGAGGCAGCAGUAGGGAAUCUUCCGCAAUGGACGAAAGUCUGACGGAGCAACGCCGCGUGAGUGAUGAAGGCUUUCGGGUCGUAAAACUCUGUUGUUAGGGAAGAACAAGUACGAGAGUCGAACUGCUCGUAGCAUUGACGAGUACACUGACGUACCAGAAAGCCACGGCUAACUACGUGCCAGCAGCCGCGGUAAUACGUAGGUGGCAAGCGUUAUCCGGAAUUAUUGGGCGUAAAGCGCGCGCAGGCGGUUUCUUAAGUCUGAUGUGAAAGCCCACGGCUCAACCGUGGAGGGUCAUUGGAAACUGGGGAACUUGAGUGCAGAAGAGAAAAGCGGAAUUCCACGUGUAGCGGUGAAAUGCGUAGAGAUGUGGAGGAACACCAGUGGCGAAGGCGGCUUUUGGUCUGUAACUGACGCUGAGGCGCGAAAGCGUGGGGGAGCAAACAGGAUUAGAUACCUGGGUAGUCCACGCCGUAAACGAUGAGUGCUAAGUGUUAGAGGGUUUCCGCCCUUUAGUGCUGCAGCUAACGCAUUAAGCACUCCCGCCUGGGGAGUACGGUCGCAAGACUGAAACUCAAAGGAAUUGACGGGGGCCCGCACAAGCGGUGGAGCAUGUGGUUUAAUUCGAAGCAACGCGAAGAACCUUAC